rnacentral:rRNA from 1 species
ACAGACCUACGGGACGCAGCAGUAGGGAAUUUUCGUCAAUGGGCGCAAGCCUGAACGAGCAAUGCCGCGUGAACGAGGAAGGUCUUCGGAUCGUAAAGUUCUGUUGAAGGGGAAAAAGAGCGGGGAGAGGAAAUGAACUCCGAUUGAUAUUACCCUUCGAGGAAGUCACGGCUAACUACGUGCCAGCAGCCGCGGUAAUACGUAGGUGGCGAGCGUUAUCCGGAAUGAUUGGGCGUAAAGGGUGCGUAGGCGGCCUGCUAAGUCUGGAGUGAAAGGUACCGGCUCAACCGGUACAGGCUCUGGAA